AACGCAUUUCUAAAAUGAUUUAGGUUCAACAAACUAAUUAUCAUGCAGUAGAAUUGCAUCUUCUCCUGUUCGAGUCUAUUUCCUCCUUUUUGAUCAGGUCUUUGUUCUUAACAUGUUUUCUACUGCAGGACAGAAAGUGAAAACUAAGUGAGGUGAGCGCAGCAAAGCAGGAUCAGCUGAUGAGCGAAACAAAGAAGCGGCUCUGGUGCGUCUCUGGUCACCGCGAACAGGAAGAGGUGUCCAGACAAAAGCUUCACUGUCCUCAUCUGUUAGAAUAGACACUAAAAAGCAUUCAUCUUUUCUCCACAUCUAAAAUAUUUCAUCUUGGGAACCCCUUUUUCCAAUACGCUUAUUAGACUGUGUUUUAUUUAUUUUUUUCGCAAGCCAACAACAACCCAACAAAAGAGCUCGACGCAACAGAAGCGCAACAGUGUGGCUGAGCUGCUUUUACUGUUUCUGCAUUGUGACAGUGAACCCAACACGGCACCAAAACCCAAAUCUUCCUCACAGAUGCAAUAAUAAAAACAUUGUUGAGCUGGAGUUGGAUCUACUCACCACCUGAGACAGAUCAAAGCGCAGCUCGGGGUAAACCAGUGAUUGUCUUCGUCCCAGGGUCUGGUCCACGUGUGAUGCUGCCAGACUGGCCUCGUUACUUUGGAGAGGUGGACGUCACCACGUGGGAGGAGAAAGGCUCUGAUUGACAGCCAAAUUAACCAAUGGACGACUGUGUAGCCUUUAUGGACCCGUAGGACAAAAGGCAAUUUUCUUUUACAAAAUAAGAGUUCUCGACCUUAAUUUUUAUAAGACCCUAAAACAGAUUGGAGAAUAAGAUUUGGGGUUUAGAAUAACUGUUUUUGAACAAAUAAAACUUUGAAUGUAUUUACAGUUGCAA